rnacentral:rRNA from 1 species
AUGGGUUCGGCUUCUAAGCCAUCUCCGACGGCGGGCGCGCCUAGCCGGCGUAAGGUAGCGCUCUGCCUGACGCUCCUCACCCUGCAGUACGGCGCCCAGCCCCUAAUCUCCAAGCGCUGCGUCGGGCAAGGAGUCAUAGUGACUUCAUUAGUUCUUGCAAUUGAAUUAUUAAAGGUUAUAUGUGCGGUCAUUUUAUUGGUGGCAGAGGGUAGUCUGAAGGCGCAAUUCAGUAAUUGGAGUCUUGUUGGAUCACUGACUGCAUCAGGACUUCCUGCUGCCAUCUAUGCACUUCAGAAUAGCCUGUUGCAGAUAUCAUACAAGAAUUUGGAUUCCCUGACCUUUUCAAUCCUUAACCAGACCAAGCUAUUAUUCACAGCAUUCUUCACAUAUCUUAUUUUGGGGCAAAAACAAUCACCCAAACAAAUUUUAGCAUUAGCCCUCUUAAUCACCGCGGCUGUCCUUUUAAGCAUUGGGGAGAGUAGCAGGAAAGGUGCAAGUGGUGGUAGCUCUGAUUAUGUCUUACUCUAUGGAGUCAUUCCUGUUACUGUUGCAUCUGUGUUGUCUGGUUUGGCCUCUUCGUUAUGUCAGUGGGCAUCUCAGGUUAAAAAGCAUACAUCUUACAUGAUGACUAUCGAGAUGUCAUUUAUUGGGAGUAUGUGCUUGUUAGCAAGUACCUUUCAGUCACCAGACGGAGAAGCCCUGAGAAUAUAUGGUUUUUUCCAUGAAUGGACUUUAUGGACAGUGAUACCAGUGUUAAUGAAUGCUGUCGGUGGGAUUCUUGUUGGUCUUGUCACAUCAUAUGCAGGAGGUAUUAAAAAGGGUUUUGUGAUUGUCUCGGCUCUCCUCGUAACUGCAUUACUCCAGUUUAUAUUUGAUGGGAAGCCGCCAUCACUGCAUUGCCUGGUGGCACUGCCGCUUGUUAUGACAAGCAUAUUCAUUUACCAGAAGUAUCCGUACGUUGAUAGUAAGAAGAAAGACAGAUAA